GUUAAAUUAUGGUAAAUAGUGAUUUGUGCAAGUUUUUAUGCUGAUCAUAAUCUUUGAUUUCGUUUGAACACGCAAACGGUAUAAUAAUGGUUUACGCAUCGUAUUUAGUAAUGAUUAAUAAAUUAAUGAUAUAAUCAAUUGUUUUAUAUGAUAUUUGUAUAAUUAUUUAAAUCAUUGUGCUACUUUCUGAAACUAAUGAACUUUUUUCUUCUGUUUUAAAUUACAGACUUUUGCUGUCGUUACGGAUUUGUACCUAAUUUAAUUUGAAGAAUGUUCUGCAAUGCAAAUUUGAAAGAUUCAUCGCUCAAACAGUUAAUUUAAUUAUAAACAAAGUGUUUUGGUUUGGUUUUCCGGAAACACUCAUUAAGCCGAGUAGCUUCGACAUUUAUUUUAUGAUCACAGCUUACAAUCCGUAAUCAUCACACAUGAUUAUAGCUGCUUUUUUACCAUUUACAUUUUCACUUUCCUGUGCUAUUACUACGCCUUCCUUAGUUGAAAACUAAAACUUUACGUGCAAAUAAACUUUUCACCAUAUAAAAUGCCAAACCACCAAAUUAUUUAUUUGCUAUUUAUUUCCAAAUGCAAUAAAAAGAAAUGACCACGAUAUAUUUUAUAUUUGCAGUUGAAUUAGAAAUUUAAACUUCUUAUAUAAGCUAUUCAAACAUUUCUUUUAUAUGACUAUAUAUUGUGUCAAUAACACUUCAAUAACUUCAAUCUCAAUUUGAAGUACGGCAUUGAAGCGCUUAUUACGCAAUUUCACACCAAUCAGGCUGAAUAUCAAAAUAUCUAUCAAGAUUUUAUAUAGAGAUUUGUUGAUUUCUAAUUUUUUAUUGUCAUUUAGAUUAUUACAUUAUAACAAUUGUUACCAGAAAUAAAUAAAUAAAGUUAAAAAAGGAAAUAGUUUUGAUGUUGUGAAAGUAGCAGUUGUAAAUCUGAAGGUCAUCAUAUUUAAAAGUACAUUAACAUUUGCAAAUUUUGAGAAUGCAUUAAUAUCGACAAUGCAGUUAACGAUCACUAUGUCUGCAAUUAAUAGAAAUGUGUGUUAAAUGUGGUGCUUCACCGCUCAGUAAUUUAAAUAUUUAUGGUGCAUUUUCAUGUCAGAAAAACAAUUACUGUUUUGUGCAAUAACUUAAGCUAGUGCUAUAAAUUCUUGUUUUACGCAACUUUCAAAGAAAAAUAUUUAACCAUAUUAACUACAGAACAUUGCAUAUUGUAUAUUAGGUAUAUAAAAUGAAAUUUUUACAGAUGUGUUAGAUGUGCACUACGCACUUAUGCGUAAACGAAUAAUAAACAAUUAACGCAGUACCAAGAAAAAUUGCAACUGUGUAAUACUUCUUCGCUGAACAUAACAUUCGCAGAAAUAUUUUAACCUAUGUUUUGUAUUCAUGCUUGGCAUAUAAUAAAUACAAUUAAUAAAUUGUAUAGUAGAUAAGUUUAGACACACUGAAUAUAACAUUUUUUGAGACGCAGAAUGCAUAAAAAUUAUUUACUGCUUUAUGAUAAACACUAUAUUCAAUUGAUAAAAACUGAGCUGAUUCAAAUGAUGUCCAUAGUUAAUUAAAGAAUAAAGAGACUAUAUUUUUAAAAUUUA